rnacentral:rRNA from 1 species
ACGGCCUCAGAUCAGAUGUGGCGACCCUCUGAAUUUAAGCAUAUUACUAAACGGAGAAAAAGAAACUAACCAGGAUUCCCUCAGUAACCGCCAGGGAAGAGCCCAGCGCUGAAUCCCCAUUCAGCUGCAGGCGUGGGAAAUGUGGCGUACAGAAGACCGACUCCCCGGCAUCGCCCAGGGGGCUGUAGUCCUUCUGAUCGAGUCUCAGCUCGUGGACGGUGUUAGGCCGGUAGUGGCCUUUGGCACGCCGGGAUCAGGUCUUCUUGGAGUCAGGUUGCUUGGGAAUGCAUCCCAAAGCAUGUGGUAUACUCAUCUAUGGCUAAAUACGGGCGCGAGACAGAUGCCUAACAAGUACCGUAAGGGAAAGUUGAAAAGAACUUUGGGGAGAGUUCAAGAGGAUGUGAAACAGUAGAGUAAACAGGUCUGUGCAGUCCGCCCUAGCUUUCAACACAGCAGGCAGGUCGCCUGGAAUGGUGGAUGCCCUUGCAGGACUGCAGCCCGGGCAGUGCACCACGACGGGCUUGGAAGGCCCCAGGGAGCAGGUGGCUCUCUGCUCCGGCAGAGUGUUACAGUCCCCUGAGAGCAGGUUUGCUGUGUCUGCGGGGCCGAGGGAGAUUGCCCACUGCCGUGCCCUUCUCCAGGAGCUCCCGAUGUGACUGGUGGACUGCCCGUAGUGCGCCCUGACCAUGUCGUGCCGCUGGGCGGGGAGGCCCACAAAGGGCGCCAGGGGUCUGAGUUGAUGUCGGGUAACCACCCGACCUGUCUUGAAUCUCUAGCCAAGGAGUCUUCACACGUGGGCGAGUCGGAGAUCUGACUGAAACCCUGUGGUGCAAAGAAGGUGAGGGCCGGCGCAUGCCGAUUGCGGUGGGAUCCCGUUGCGGUGGACGCACCGCCGACCCGUCUCUCAGGGAGAUGGAGCAUGAGCGUGUGUGAUAGGACCCGAAAGAUGGUGAACUAGUCCUGGUGGAGGUCCGUAGCGGUCCUGAUGUGUAAAUCUGUCAUCGACCCGGGUAUAGGGGCCAAUGUCUAAUAGAACCAUCUUGUAACUGAGUUUCCCCUCAGGAUAGCUGGCGCACAGAAACCCCAGUUUUAUCUGGUGAGGCGAAUUAUUAGAGGUCUAUUCUCAAACUUUAAAUGGGUAAGAAGCCUGGCUCGCUGGUGGGAAGCCGGCAUUAAAUUUCAAGUGGGCAGAACUGCCACUGCGGGAUGAAGCGAAUGGCAUAUUAAGGCGCCCGAUGCCGACACUCGUCCAACCCCAGAAAAGGUGUUGGUUGAUAUAUACAGCAGGAUGGUGGCCACGGAAGUCAGAAUCCGCGAAGGAGCCCCGGGGCGUGCUCUCUUUACUUUGAAGGGCUGGGCACCCUGGAAUGGUUUAGUCCUGAGAGAGGGGCCAGAGCCUUGGAAAGCAUUGCGGUUGCAGCGGCGUGCAGUGAGCUCUUGCUGGUCCUUGAAAUUCCGGGGGAGAUGGUGUACAUUUUCGCGCUGGGCCGUACCCAUAUCCCCAGCAGGUCUCCAAGUUGAACAGCCUCUGGCAUGUUGGAACAAUGUAGGUAAGGGAAGUCGGCAAGUCAGAUCUGUAACUUCGGGAUAAGUAUUAGCUCUAAGGGCUGGGUCGGUCGGGCUGGGGCCAGAAGCAGGGUCGGACACGUGCCGCGGCUGGAGGAGGUGUCUGAUCCUCCCCGGGGGCAGCGCCCCAGCUGCGGUGGUUGCCUCUCUGUUCCCCUCCCGGCGUUUCUAGGCUGACGUUCUGCCUCGGCCAACGCCUAGCAGCUGACUUAGAACUGGUGCGGACCAGGGGAAUCUGACUGUCUACUUAAAACAAAGCAUUGUGAAGGCCUGCGAUGGGUGGACACAAUGUGAUAUCUGCCCUGUGCUCUGAAUGUCAAAGUGAAGAAAUUCAAUGAAGCGCAGGUAAACGGCAGGAGUAACUAUGACUCUCUUAAGGUAGCCAAAUACCCUGUCCUCUAAUUUGUGACACGCAUGAAUGGAUGAAUGAGAUUCCCACUGUCCCUACCUACUAUCUAGUGAAACCACAGCCAAGGGAACAGACUUGGCAGAAUCACUGGGGAAAGAAGACCCAAUCAAGGGUGCCUCUAGUCUGGCACUGUGAAGAGACGGGAGGUGUAGGAUAAGUGGGAGGCCCUCGGGCCGCUGGUGAAAUACCACUACUUAUCGUUUUUUCACUUACCCGGUGAGGUGGGGGGUGAGCCCGGUGGGGGCGAGCCCAGUGGGGCGCACACUGCUGGUUCCAAGCGCCCGCCGUGCGGACCGCUCCGGGGACAGUGGCAGAAACGAUAACGCAGGUAUUUUAAGGCAAACUCAGGGAGGACAGAAACCCGUAAAUUCCCCUCCUCCCCCCAUGAAGCAGAAGGGCAAAAGCUUGCUUUAUCUCGAUUUUCAGUAUGAAUACAGACCGUGAAAGCGGGGCCUCACGAUCCUUCUGACGUUCUGGGUUUCAAGCAAGCAGGAGGUGUCAGAAAAGUUACCACAGGGAUUACUGGCUUGUGGGGGCCAAGCGUUCAUAGUGACGUCGCUUUUUGAUCCUUUGAUGUCUGCUCUUCCUAUCAUUGUGAAGCAAAGUUCACCAAGCAUUGGAUUGGUCACCCACUAAUAGGGAACGUGAGGUGGGUUUAGACCGUACUGAGACAGGUUAGUUUUACCCUACUGGUGAUGUGUUGUUGCAAUAGUAUUCCUUCUCAGUACAAGAGGAACCGCAGGUUCAGACAUUUGGUGUAUGUGCUUGGCUGAGGAGUCAAAGGGGCGAAGCUACAAUCUGUGGAAUUAUGACUGAACGCCUCGAAGUCAGAAUACCCCCCUAAACCGUAACGAUACCGCAGUGCUGUCAAUCCUCGGUUGGCCUAGGAUAGCCGGCCUUUGGGCCGGUGCAUAGAGCCGGUCACCUCGGGACUAGAGUGUGGACAGAAGGGGGCCACCUCUCUCGCCCGUAGUGCACCGCAUGUUCGUGGGGAACCUGGUGCAAAAUCAUUCGUAGACAACCUGAUUCUGGUUCAGGGUUUCAUAAGUAGCAGUGCAGCUACCUCGCUGCUAUCUAUUGAAAGUCAUCCUC